rnacentral:rRNA from 1 species
AACGAACGCUGGCGGCGCGCCUAAUACAUGCAAGUCGAGCGAGAAGACGUAGCAAUACGUUUGUAAAGCGGCGAACGGGUGAGGAAUACAUGGGUAACCUACCCUCGAGUGGGGAAUAACUAGCCGAAAGGUUAGCUAAUACCGCGUACGCUCCUUGGACUUCGGUUCAGGGAGGAAAGCGAUACCGUGGGUAUCGCGCUCUUGGAUGGGCUCAUGUCCUAUCAGCUUGUUGGUGAGGUAACGGCUCACCAAGGCUUCGACGGGUAGCUGGUCUGAGAGGACAAUCAGCCACACUGGCACUGCGACACGGGCCAGACUCCUACGGGAGGCAGCAGUAAGGAAUAUUGCGCAAUGGGCGAAAGCCUGACGCAGCGACGCCGCGUGGGGGAGU